rnacentral:rRNA from 1 species
UUCGGCCAUAGUGGCGCACGGGUGAGUAACGCGUGGGAACCUGCCCAGCAGUGGGGAAUAACUUCGGGAAACCGGGGCUAAUACCGCAUACGCCCUUAGGGGGAAAGAUUUAUUGCUGUUGGAGGGGCCCGCGUCCGAUUAGUUUGUUGGUGGGGUAAUGGCCUACCAAGACUACGAUCGGUAGCUGGUCUGAGAGGAUGAUCAGCCACACUGGGACUGAGACACGGCCCAGACUCCUACGGGAGGCAGCAGUGGGGAAUAUUGGACAAUGGGCGCAAGCCUGAUCCAGCAAUGCCGCGUGGGUGAUGAAGGCCUUAGGGUUGUAAAGCUCUUUCGGCGGGGACGAUGAUGACGGUACCCGCAGAAGAAGCCCCGGCUAACUUCGUGCCAGCAGCCGCGGUAAUACGAAGGGGGCUAGCGUCGUUCGGAAUUACUGGGCGUAAAGAGCACGUAGGCGGUUCGUUAAA